GAUGAAGAACGCAGCGAAAUGCGAUAAGUAGUGUGAAUUGCAGAAUUCAGUGAAUCAUCGAAUCUUUGAACGCACAUUGCGCCCCUUGGUAUUCCAUGGGGCAUGCCUGUUCGAGCGUCAUUUGUACCUUCAAGCUUUGCUUGGUGUUGGGUGUUUGUCUCGCCUCCGCGUGUAGACUCGCCUCAAAACAAUUGGCAGCCGGCGUAUUGAUUUCGGAGCGCAGUACAUCUCGCGCUUUGCACUCACAACGACGACGUCCAAAAGUACAUUUUUACACUCUUGACCUCAAAUCAGGUAGGACUACCCGCUGAACUUAAGCAUAUCAAUAAGCGGAGGA
rnacentral:misc_RNA from 1 species